GAUGAACGCUGGCGGCGUGCCUAAUACAUGCAAGUCGAGCGAACAGACGAUGAGCUUGCUCCUCUGACGUUAGCGGCGGACGGGUGAGUAACACGUGGAUAACCUACCUAUAAGACUGGGAUAACUUCGGGAAACCGGAGCUAAUACCGGAUAAUAUAUUGAACCGCAUGGUUCAAUAGUGAAAGACGGUUUUGCUGUCACUUAUAGAUGGAUCCGCGCCGCAUUAGCUAGUUGGUAAGGUAACGGCUUACCAAGGCAACGAUGCGUAGCCGACGUGAGAGGGUGAUCGGCCACACGGGAGCUGAGACACGGUCCAGGCUCCUACGGGAGGCAGCAGUAGGGAAUCUUCCGCAAUGGGCGAAAGCCUGACGGAGCAACGCCGCGUGAGUGAUGAAGGUCUUCGGAUCGUAAAACUCUGUUAUUAGGGAAGAACAAAUGUGUAAGUAACUAUGCACGUCUUGACGGUACCUAAUCAGAAAGCCACGGCUAACUACGUG
rnacentral:rRNA from 1 species